rnacentral:rRNA from 1 species
CUUUACUGCAGCUUUGCAUUGGACUGUGACGGGACUUGUGUAGGAUAGGUGGGAGGCUGUGAAGGGCGGACGCCAGUUCGCCUGGAGCCAACCUUGAAAUACCACCCUGGUGUCGUUGCGGUUCUAACCUGGGCCCCUGAUCGGGGUCGGGGACCGUGCAUGGUAGGCAGUUUGACUGGGGCGGUCUCCUCCCAAAGCGUAACGGAGGAGCACGAAGGUUCGCUAGACACGGUCGGAAAUCGUGUUGAUAGUGCAUAGGCAAAAGCGAGCUUGACUGCGAGACGGACAGGUCGAGCAGGUGCGAAAGCAGGUCUAAGUGAUCCGGUGGUUCUGUAUGGAAGGGCCAUCGCUCAACGGAUAAAAGGUA